UUGCCCUAGUAACGGCGAGUGAAGCGGCAACAGCUCAAAUUUGAAAGCUAGCCUUCGGGUUCGCAUUGUAAUUUGUAGAGGAUGAUUUGGGGAAGCCGCCUGUCUAAGUUCCUUGGAACAGGACGUCAUAGAGGGUGAGAAUCCCGUAUGUGACAGGAAAUGGCACCCUAUGUAAAUCUCCUUCGACGAGUCGAGUUGUUUGGGAAUGCAGCUCUAAAUGGGAGGUAAAUUUCUUCUAAAGCUAAAUAUUGGCGAGAGACCGAUAGCGCACAAGUAGAGUGAUCGAAAGAUGAAAAGCACUUUGGAAAGAGAGUUAAAAAGCACGUGAAAUUGUUGAAAGGGAAGCGCUUGCAAUCAGACUUGUUUAAACUGUUCGGCCGGUCUUCUGACCGGUUUACUCAGUUUGGACAGGCCAGCAUCAGUUUCGGCGGCCGGAUAAAGGCUCUGGGAAUGUGGCCUCCACUUCGGUGGAGGUGUUAUAGCCCAGGGUGUAAUACGGCCAGCCGGGACUGAGGUCCGCGCUUCGGCUAGGAUGCUGGCGUAAUGGUUGUAAGCGACCCGUCUUGAAACACGGACCAAGGAGUCUAACAUCUAUGCGAGUGUUCGGGUGUCAAACCCCUGCGCGUAAUGAAAGUGAACGGAGGUGGGAACCCGCAAGGGUGCACCAUCGACCGAUCCUGAUGUCUUCGGAUGGAUUUGAGUAAGAGCAUAGCUGUUGGGACCCGAAAGAUGGUGAACUAUGCCUGAAUAGGGUGAAGCCAGAGGAAACUCUGGUGGAGGCUCGCAGCGGUUCUGACGUGCAAAUCGAUCGUCAAAUUUGGGUAUAGGGGCGAAAGACUAAUCG
rnacentral:rRNA from 2 species